AGAGUUUGAUCAUGGCUCAGGAUGAACGCUAGCGGCAGGCCUAAUACAUGCAAGUCGAACGGCGUCCUUCGGGGCGCAGUGGCGCACGGGUGCGUAACGCGUAUGCAACCUACCUACCACUGGGGGAUAGCCCGGAGAAAUCCGGAUUAAUACCGCAUAACACCACGGGAGGGCAUCUGAUUGUGGUUAAAGAUUUAUCGGUGGUAGAUGGGCAUGCGUGCCAUUAGCUAGUUGGCGGGGUAACGGCCCACCAAGGCGACGAUGGCUAGGGGUUCUGAGAGGACGAUCCCCCACACUGGCACUGAGAUACGGGCCAGACUCCUACGGGAGGCAGCAGUAGGGAAUAUUGGGCAAUGGGCGGAAGCCUGACCCAGCCAUGCCGCGUGCAGGAUGAAGGCCUUCUGGGUUGUAAACUGCUUUUACCAGGGAAGAAAAGACCCAUGCGUGGGGAACUGACGGUACCUGGGGAAUAAGCACCGGCUAACUCCGUGCCAGCAGCCGCGGUAAUACGGAGGGUGCAAGCGUUGUCCGGAUUUAUUGGGUUUAAAGGGUGCGUAGGCGGCCCCUUAAGUCAGUGGUGAAAGCCCGCGGCUCAACCGCGGAACUGCCAUUGAUACUGGGGGGCUUGAGUACAGACGAGGUAGGCGGAAUUGAAGAUGUAGCGGUGAAAUGCUUAGAUAUCUUCAAGAACCCCGAUUGCGUAGGCAGCUUACUAGGCUGUAACUGACGCUGAGGCACGAAAGCGUGGGGAGCGAACAGGAUUAGAUACCCUAGUAGUCC
rnacentral:rRNA from 1 species